AUUGAACGCUGGCGGCAGGCCUAACACAUGCAAGUCGAACGAGUGGCGGACGUGUGAGUAAUGUCUGGGAAACUGCCUGAUGGAUGGGGUUAACUACUGGAAACGGUAGCUAAUACCGCAUACCAUCGGAUGUGCCCAGAUGGGAUUAGCUAGUAGGUGGGGUAACGGCUCACCUAGGCGACGAUCCCUAGCUGGUCUGAGAGGAUGACCAGCCACACUGGAACUGAGACACGGUCCAGACUCCUACGGGAGGCAGCAGUGGGGAAUAUUGGACAAUGGGCGCAAGCCUGAUGCAGCCAUGCCGCGUGUAUGAAGAAGGUCUUCGUAUUGUAAAGUACUUUCAGCUGGGAGGCGUUACUCACAGAAGAAGCACCGGCUAACUCCGUGCCAGCAGCCGCGGUAAUAC
rnacentral:rRNA from 1 species